rnacentral:rRNA from 1 species
UACGUAGGGUGCAAGCGUUGUCCGGAAUUAUUGGGCGUAAAGAGCUCGUAGGCGGUUUGUCGCGUCUGCUGUGAAAACCCGAGGCUCAACCUCGGGCCUGCAGUGGGUACGGGCAGACUAGAGUGCGGUAGGGGAGAUUGGAAUUCCUGGUGUAGCGGUGAAAUGCGCAGAUAUCAGGAGGAACACCGGUGGCGAAGGCGGGGUCUCUGGGCCGAUACUGAUGCUGAGGAGCGAAAGCGUGGGGAGCGAACAGG